GCGGGAGUAAUUCAGUGGUAGAAUGUCUGCUUCCCAAGCAGAAAGUCGCGAGUUCGAAUCUCGUCUCCCGCUCCA
rnacentral:tRNA from 2 species